UAAAUCUCUUACGUACUCGGUGUUUCAAAACCCAAAGGCGAAGUGAUGGCAAAGGUUCGACUUGUCCGGACUGAGGUGAAAUCCUGUUGUCUUGCUCAUACUUUCCAAGUUCCGAGCGGCAGGCGUAUUACCGGCCAAUCUCAUAGCAUAUUCAUGUGAUAUCGUGUUGUGUGCACCGUCGGGGCGGAGUAAGAGCGUAUACAUUGAGACCCGAAAGAUGGUGAGCCAUGCUUGCGAAGGUUGAAGCCAGAGGUAACUCUAGUGGAGGGCCGUAGUGAUUCUCACGUGCAAAUAAAUCGUAUAACGUGAGUAUGUUGGUGAAAGACUAAUCGAACCCGUUAGUGGUUGAUUCCCUCUGAAGGUUCCCUCAGGAUAGCUAACAUUCUGAGAAAUAAAUAUUUUUAUGCGGUAAAGCGAAUGAUAAGAAGCAUUGAGGAGAAAUCAACCUCAACCUAUUCUCAAGUGUUAAAUGAAUAUGAAGUUUAACUUGCUUAAUUGAAGUUUUGCAUUGAAUGUAAGUGCUAAGUAGGCAAUUUUUGGUAUAUAUAUUUAUAUAGGACUGAACGUGUUAAAAUACAGUUUGUUUUAUGUUCACCUAAUUAUUUCAUGUGAAAUUAUUUCAUUUAGAGAAUGAUUGUCAUUUUCUUACUGUU
rnacentral:ncRNA from 1 species